UACAUAGGGGGCUAGCGUUGUCCGGAAUCAUUGGGCGUAAAGAGCGUGUAGGCGGCCCGGUAAGUCCGCUGUAAAAGUCAAAGGCUCAACCUUUGAAUGUCAGUGGAUACUGCCGGGCUAGAGUCCGGAAGAGGCGAGUGGAACUCCUGGUGUAGCGGUGGAAUGCGCAGAUAUCAGGAAGAACACCAACGGCGAAGGCAGCUCGCUAGGACGGUACUGACGCUGAGACGCGAAAGCGUGGGGAGCGAACAGG
rnacentral:rRNA from 1 species